rnacentral:rRNA from 1 species
CAGCAGCCGCGGGAAUACGUAGGGUGCAAGCGUUGUCCGGAAUUAUUGGGCGUAAAGAGCUCGUAGGCGGUUUGUCGCGUCUGCUGUGAAAACCCGAGGCUCAACCUCGGGCCUGCAGUGGGUACGGGCAGACUAGAGUGCGGUAGGGGAGAUUGGAAUUCCUGGUGUAGCGGUGGAAUGCGCAGAUAUCAGGAGGAACACCGAUGGCGAAGGCAGAUCUCUGGGCCGUAACUGACGCUGAGGAGCGAAAGCGUGGGGAGCGAACAGGAUUAGAUACCCCAGUAGUCCCUGUCUCUUAUAC